GGAAAAUCGUCUAGUAUAUUACAAAAGCAAAAGCUCUUCAAUCAAUUAAAGUUUAGAUAAAAUUUUUAUUUCAUCUUUUGCUAUUUACUCCACCAACACCACUCCAACCUUUUGCUUUCCUCCCUCAGCCAACCACCACCACUAUCUCCAAUAUCUCCAAUGAUUUAACUAUCAACUCCACCACCACUUGCUCCCCACCCAACAAAUGCAAUAUUCACUCUCAUUUCAAUUUCAUCCAAAAGUUCAGAGGAUCAAUUCCAGUUCAGCCGAAGCUCUCAAGGUAAUGCUUGGUUUCAAUGCUUUCUUCUCCUUUGAUUAAGUUCAUCCUGCAAUUGUUAAGCAAAUAAGCAAUUUAUUUCAGUUUCUAUCCACUGAUUCAAACACCACAGCAGCCAACAUCAAUUACAAGCCUAAAUUUCUCAUUGAAUUCAAUAGCAACAAACAGCCACCAACACCAAGCAUAGCAGGUAUAUACUUAGCUCAGCUCCAGUUCAUACAUCAUAUCAUCAAGCAUAUGUUUAAAAAGGAAAUACAUAGUAUACAGGUGUGUAUAUAUAUGCACACAGGGACUUAGCAAUCGAAAUCAGUUUAUGCUAUAUUUUCUUAUCACACGAGGCAAGCAAGGAAAAUUCUUGAUACAUUAGUAAACCACGAACUUAGUUUUAUCUCUUGCAUAAUACAGAAAUCAGUAUAUAUUUUCUUCACUUAAGAUAAAGGCAAUGAGAAAACUCUCAUAAAUCAGUAGCAAAAACCAAGACUCCACAUAGACUUAAGUAUUGAACUUAGCUGUAGAAGGGCUGACUGCCCGACGGGGACGGGGACGACGACGACGGUCGGGACAGGGCGAACUCGUCCAACCUCAUCAGAGCCCCGAACAGCAGCUGCCCGGCGACGAGCUGAGACUCGUGCGCAGCAGCAGCGGUCGCUCGACAGUUGCGUUUUUCCCUUUUUCUGAGAACUAGGGCCCAACGACGGAAGGAGCGGUGGUGGCUGGGGCUGCUAUCGCCGGAUUUACAAAACGCCGCGGCGCUGAGCGGGGAGAGAGGGAGAGGCGGUUCAAAAUCGGAGAGGAAAUUAGGGCUUCUGCUGCACCUUCAUUGGGUUGAGAAGAACAGCCGACGCAGCCACGAACGAGACGCAACCGCUCUGUUCGACCGGUACCGAGCCCGAGCAGCAGCAACUCUAGUCGGCGAUGGCUCCAGAAGACAGCAGCCGUCGGAUUUCAGAAGGGGAGAGAGAGACGGCCACGACCGGCGCCGACCGCUCGCCGGAUUCCAUACGGAGGUGCGGCAGCUGCGAUUUACCAGGAGAAGUUAGGGCUUGAUUUUGAACUCUGCGUGCAGAUUGAGGAAGAGAGAUGACGUCGCCGGUCGAAGCCAACCGAAGCAGAUGACGGCUGGAGUCUCGGCGGCGGACGCCUCGUGUGAAGGCGAGUCGAGAGUGAGAGGGAGAAGAGGCGUGCGGCUGGUUUGAGAGAGGGGAGUGUCGGCUGUGAUUGAGGUAAAGGAGAGAUGGGAGAGAGAGAAGGACCGAGAGUCUAAAGAGAGAGAGUUUGGGCUGCAAUUCUUUUCUUUUGGGCCGAAUUCUUUUAAGCUUGGGCCUUAUUCUUUAUUUUGCUGAUGGGCUCUAAUUGUUUAAAGAAUUUGGGCUUAUUCCUUUUUAAAAUUUUGGGCUGAGAAUUGUUUUAAUGGUUUUGGGCUUCCAUAUAAUGAUUUCGAACUGGGCCGAAUUAAAUCAUCUGGGCCGUGUUAUUUCUUUAUGUUGGGCCGAGUCUUGGGCCGAUUUUUAAUAAAAGAUUGGGCUUUCAUUUAAAUUCGAACUGGGCCAGUCUUUUAUUUAAUUGGCCCUUCUUAUUAAUCCUAUUGGGCUCGAUUUAAUUAAGGAGUUGGGCUGAUGCAUAUUUUAUGAUGGGCUAUUAUUCUAGUCCCAUUUAUAUUUCGUUGGGCCAAUUUAAUUCAUCAUUUUGGCCGAUUAAAUUGCCUUUUUGGGCUAAGAUUAAUUCUUUUCAAUCCACAUUAAUUAUUAUUUGGACCCCUAUUUUAAUUAUUUUGGGUCGAAGACUUUUUAAGUUGGGCUUUAAUUCUUUUAAAGCUUGAGCUGAAGUUACUCCUUUGGCUAAGCCUAGCAGUAUCAAAUUUUGAUGGAGCCCAAUUAUUUAUCAGUGGGUGAGCCGAUUCGUAUUCAGUAAAUGAGCCGCCCAGUUUAUUAAUUAUUGUUUUGGACUUCAGAUUUUAAAGCAAGCUAUCAUGGUUUAUUUCAUUAAAGCCACUGGUUUAUUUAAUUAAUUGGCUACUCUCUUUUGAGCCUAUUAAUUAUUUGAGGUUACACUAGUAAUGAUGUUUCUAUCGAAAAGCCCGAUAAUUUUUACAAGGUCACACCUCGUUUAAAGCCGAGUUAGUCCUUUUUCAAUCAAUUACAAAUGCGAGGUUUAUUUCACGACUAGAAUAUUCCGAUGAGGAAAGAAGAAUCACAGUUUUAUUAGACCGUGCUAGACGAGAAUUAGCUAAAUCUAUUAACGAGGAUUAAUAGUAGAAUUCCCGAUUAUCGCUCAGAAGAUUAGUUCAUGCAUACAAGAUUCAUGCAUAGUUAAUUACGCUUUCUCAUUAAUUAAGAAUUUUCCUCGAGGCAAUGUCUUAUUUUAUAUUCUCGUGAUUAAGGUCAAGCGCGAGAGUAAAAACUAUUCAAGGAGUCACAAUACCUUAGCAAAACUUUGCUAUCAGGUGGGCAAUUUCUUACGCGUAAAUAAAAUGCUAUGCAAGUGUUAU
rnacentral:lncRNA from 1 species